UGUAGGUAUCUGCCCUUUGGCCUGGAAUAACACGAGGAAACUUGUGCUAAUACCGGAUAAGUCUUUACGGAGAAAGCUUUAUGCACCAUUGGAUGAGCCUGCACUUGAUUAGUUUGUUGGUGGGGUAAUGGCCUACCAAGACUGUGAUCAAUAGCUGAUUUGAGAGGAUGAUCAGCCACAUUGGGACUGAGACACGGCCCAAACUCCUACGGGAGGCAGCAGUGGGGAAUCUUGCACAAUGGAGGAAACUCUGAUGCAGCGAUGCCGCGUGAGUGAA
rnacentral:rRNA from 1 species